UCAAAACAUAGAGGGGCCAAAGGCUUUAUUCAAUGUUGGAGUUCAAGGUGUGAAAGGUAUUAACUUUCCACCUGUUGGAUAAGAAAGAAUUAUGAGGUGUUACCGGAUAAGAUAAUGAAUACUGAGGGGGAGCAAAGACAAAAGUGAAUGACUCACAUUACUACAUUGGCAUGAUAUGAAUCUGGCACUAGGAGAAUAAUUCCAAGUGUGUGCAAGUGCAAAGGUCUUCACUGGAUUUCAUCAAUAUAUAACCGGUUCACACCUAUCUCACUUGCCUAUGUUUCUACCAACUUCUUUCCCAUCACUUCUGUUUCUCUAUCUGUCUACGUAUAUAUAUCACAACUGCUAUUGGUUUAAUGCAUCUUCAACCUAAAAAUAUGAGUAUAAUAAGAAAAGCAAAGGACGUUGGAGGCUAAGAGGAGUGAAUGCACAAGCAAAUGGAAUAGUUCUUUCAUCAGUGCUAAGGUCAUCAACAAGGAUUAAAUAAAUAGCACAGAAGAAGGGACAAAAUAAAUGGUCAAGAGUGGGCUUUGAACCCACGCCCUUUCGGACCCGCACCUGAAGCGGGCGCCUUAGACCAACUCGGCCAUCUUGACGUCUUUGGUUAGAGUUCAACUACAAUUAAUAUAAUGCUUUUUAUAU